AUUGAACGCUGGCGGCAUGCCUUACACAUGCAAGUCGAACGGUAACGGGCCUUCGGGUGCCGACGAGUGGCGCACGGGUGAGUAAUACAUCGGAACGUGCCCGAUCGUGGGGGAUAACGAGGCGAAAGCUUUGCUAAUACCGCAUACGAUCUACGGAUGAAAGCAGGGGACCGCAAGGCCUUGCGCGGACGGAGCGGCCGAUGGCAGAUUAGGUAGUUGGUGGGAUAAAAGCUUACCAAGCCGACGAUCUGUAGCUGGUCUGAGAGGAUGAUCAGCCACACCGGGACUGAGACACGGCCCAGACUCCUACGGGAGGCAGCAGUGGGGAAUUUUGGACAAUGGGCGCAAGCCUGAUCCAGCCAUGCCGCGUGCAGGAUGAAGGCCUUCGGGUUGUAAACUGCUUUUGUACGGAACGAAAAGCCUUCUUUUAAUACAGGAGGGUCAUGACGGUACCGUAAGAAUAAGCACCGGCUAACUACGUG
rnacentral:rRNA from 1 species